UUGUUGUGUGGGCGCAAGUGACUGGCUGGAACAACAACCUUUGAAACUGGUCCAGUAUUAAGCUUGAACGCUGUAACCGGCAGCCACAGACUGGGCUGCAAUGGAACCCUGUAAGGGCAAAUGUGCAUCGGCGACAUGGUCCGCU